GAUUUUAUUUUUAAGUAAUCUCCACACCAAACAUGGGGCUCGAACUUACAACCAUGAGAUCAAGAGUCACAUGCUCUACUAUCUGAGACAGC
rnacentral:snoRNA from 1 species